rnacentral:rRNA from 1 species
GACGAACGCUGGCGGCGUGCUUAACACAUGCAAGUCGAACGGAAAGGCCCUGCUUUUGUGGGGUGCUCGAGUGGCGAACGGGUGAGUAACACGUGAGUAACCUGCCCUUGACUUUGGGAUAACUUCAGGAAACUGGGGCUAAUACCGGAUAGGAGCUCCUGCUGCAUGGUGGGGGUUGGAAAGUUUCGGCGGUUGGGGAUGGACUCGCGGCUUAUCAGCUUGUUGGUGGGGUAGUGGCUUACCAAGGCGAUGACGGGUAGCCGGCCUGAGAGGGUGACCGGCGACACUGGAACUGAGACGCGGUCCAGAGUCCUAAGGGAGGGAGCAGUGGGGAAUAUUGGACAAUGGGCGGAAGGCUGAUACAGCGAUAGCGCGUGGGUGAAGAAGGCCUUCGGGUUGGAAAGCCCGUUUGUUGGGAAAGAAAAGCAGCAGGUUAAUACCCCGCUGUUCUGACGGUAACCAAAGAAUAAGCACCGGCUAACUUCGUG